rnacentral:rRNA from 1 species
GGGUCCGUAGGCGGGCUCGUAAGUCAGUGGUGAAAUCUCAUAGCUUAACUAUGAAACUGCCAUUGAUACUGCGAGCCUUGAGUAAGGUAGAGGUAGCUGGAAUAAGUAGUGUAGCGGUGAAAUGCAUAGAUAUUACUUAGAACACCAAUUGCGAAGGCAGGUUACCAUGUCUUAACUGACGCUGAUGGACGAAAGCGUGGGGAGCGAACAGGAUUAGAUACCCUGGUAGUCCACGCCGUAAACGAUGCUAACUCGUUUUUGGGGCUUUAUGCUUCAGAGACUAAGCGAAAGUGAUAAGUUAGCCACCUGGGGAGUACGUUCGCAAGAAUGAAACUCAAAGGAAUUGACGGGGGCCCGCACAAGCGGUGGAUUAUGUGGUUUAAUUCGAUGAUACGCGAGGAACCUUACCAAGGCUUAAAUGGGAAUUGACAGGUUUAGAAAUAGACUUUUCUUCGGACAAUUUUCAAGGUGCUGCAUGGUUGUCGUCAGCUCGUGCCGUGAGGUGUUAGGUUAAGUCCUGCAACGAGCGCAACCCCUGUCACUAGUUGCUAGCAUUAAGUUGAGGACUCUAGUGAGACUGCCUACGCAAGUAGAGAGGAAGGUGGGGAUGACGUCAAAUCAUCACGGCCCUUACGCCUUGGGCCACACACGUAAUACAAUGGCCGGUACAGAGGGCAGCUACACAGCGAUGUGAUGCAAAUCUCGAAAGCCGGUCUCAGUUCGGAUUGGAGUCUGCAACUCGACUCUAUGAAGCUGGAAUCGCUAGUAAUCGCGCAUCAGCCAUGGCGCGGUGAAUACGUUCCC